CAGCCGUAAACUAUGCUCGCUAGGUGUCAGGCAUGGCGCGACCGUGUCUGGUGCCGCAGGGAAGCCGUGAAGCGAGCCACCUGGGAAGUACGGCCGCAAGGCUGAAACUUAAAGGAAUUGGCGGGGGAGCACAACAACGGGUGGAGCCUGCGGUUUAAUUGGACUCAACGCCGGACAACUCACCGGGGGACGACAGCAAUAUGUAGGCCAGGCUGAAGACCUUGCCUGAAUCGCUGAGAGGAGGUGCAUGGCGUAGACGU
rnacentral:rRNA from 1 species